GCAAGUCGAGGGGCAUCGGGAUUGAAGCUUGCUUCAAUUGCCGGCGACCGGCGCACGGGUGCGUAACGCGUAUGUAACCUACCUAUAACAGGGGCAUAACACUGAGAAAUUGGCACUAAUUCCCCAUAAUAUUCGGAGAGGCAUCUCUCCGGGUUGAAAACUCCGGUGGUUAUAGAUGGACAUGCGUUGUAUUAGCUAGUUGGUGAGGUAACGGCUCACCAAGGCAACGAUACAUAGGGGGACUGAGAGGUUAACCCCCCACACUGGUACUGAGACACGGACCAGACUCCUACGGGAGGCAGCAGUGAGGAAUAUUGGUCAAUGGACGCAAGUCUGAACCAGCCAUGCCGCGUGCAGGAAGACGGCUCUAUGAGUUGUAAACUGCUUUUGUACGAGGGUAAACUCACCUACGUGUAGGUGACUGAAAGUAUCGUACGAAUAAGGAUCGGCUAACUCCGUGCCAGCAGCCGCGGUAAUACGGAGGAUUCAAGCGUUAUCCGGAUUUAUUGGGUUUAAAGGGUGCGUAGGCGGUUUGAUAAGUUAGAGGUGAAAUCCCGGGGCUUAACUCCGGAACUGCCUCUAAUACUGUUAGACUAGAGAGUAGUUGCGGUAGGCGGAAUGUAUGGUGUAGCGGUGAAAUGCUUAGAGAUCAUACAGAACACCGAUU
rnacentral:rRNA from 1 species